rnacentral:rRNA from 1 species
GACGUAGGGUGCGAGCGUUGUCCGGAAUUACUGGGCGUAAAGAGCUCGUAGGUGGUUUGUCGCGUUGUCCGUGAAAACUCACAGCUCAACUGUGGGCGUGCGGGCGAUACGGGCAGACUGGAGUACUGCAGGGGAGACUGGAAUUCCUGGUGUAGCGGUGGAAUGCGCAGAUAUCAGGAGGAACACCGGUGGCGAAGGCGGGUCUCUGGGCAGUAACUGACGCUGAGGAGCGAAAGCGUGGGGAGCGAACAGG